AACGAACGCUGGCGGCACGUUUUAAGCAUGCAAGUCGAACGGCAGUGGGGGCAACCCCAUGAGAGUGGCGAACGGGUGAGUAACACGUAGGUGAUCUGCCUUUGGGUUGGGGAUAGCUUGUGGAAACACAGGGUAAUACCGAAUGAGCUGACGAGGCUUUGGCCAUGUUAGUAAAGGUGCUACGGCACCGCCUAGAGAGGAGCCUGCGGCUGAUUAGCCAGUUGGUGGGGUAAAGGCCUACCAAGGCGACGAUCAGUAGCCGGCCUGAGAGGGUGUACGGCCACACUAGAACUGAGACACGGUCCAGACUCCUACGGGAGGCAGCAGCUAAGAAUCUGCCGCAAGGGGCGAAAGCCUGACGGAGCGAUGCCGCGUGAUCGAUGAAGGUCGAGAGAUUGUAAAGAUCUUUUCCAACUGAGGAAUAAGUGGACCAGGGAAUGGGUUCAUGAUGACGUUAAGUUGGGAAUAAGCCCCGGCUAAGUACGUGCCAGCCGCCGCAGUAA
rnacentral:rRNA from 1 species